GCUCUCUGGCUAAAGCGCUGUCUACGCGUCCUUCUGGCUGUUCACAGCAUUCAGGGCCUCGUCCUCCGGGGCUGAGCGUACACACACUGGUCCACAUUGGUCUCCAGCGUCCGCCUGGGGCAGGAGCCACCUCCACCGCCCCGUACUCCACCUCACUCCCCCCCUGCCCUCCCGGUCGCCCCGGAGACGUUAACGUACAGCACACCAUCAUCUACUGCCAUGGAGGACAGCGCAAUGACUGAACAAACAGAACAUUAGAAAAUGAGAAAACACCACGGGAAUUAAAGUUUGUGUUUAACAGUUGUCCCAAAGAGACACUUGGUACCUCGAUGUCUUGAGGUUUUCUUCUUCUUUAGUGCCCAGUAGACUCCCAAUGCUACUAGGAACAGCAGCACCACCGUCAGAGAACGAGCGAUGAUAGAAAUGCGGUCUGGGACGAAGAAAAGUACGGCACAGAGACAAGGUGAUGUUAGCCGCGGCGUGGCUCACGUUGUUGCGGACCGAGCAGUUGAGCAGUCCCGACCGGCCCGGCUCCAGAGUGACGUCACCACUAGUGCCACUGGGUCCGGAGAGGAGAAGCGUGCCGUUCAGCGGGAGUCCGUCUAGACUGAAGCUGUAGUGCAGUGCCCCCCCUCCCUCAGCAGAGCCGGACACCCUCUGCUGUCCCGUGUAUAGACACUCCCGGGACAGGAGGGGAGAGGAGACCGGGGCUAAGGGAAACCGACUGAGGAGUCUGUAGGUAUCAUCUUGUGAGGUCUUAGGUAGCUGGACUUCCAAGGUUCCUCCCAGACAGCCAAAGCACUGGGUUGCGAUGUUUGGCUGCGUGGCGUCGCAGAAGGUCUUCACACCUGGGGGUUUACAGAGGAGAAUAAGACAAUACAGGAGAUAUAUCUCACUCAGAUUCCCGGACCAACGCUCACUAUAACUAGCUCGUCUCUACAAUAGCUGGUUCCCUGUCAGCGAUGGCACUGCUCCUGAUAGUAGCAUUGGGAGUCUACUGGGUCAAAAAGCACAAAAGCUCAAAAGGUAAGAAUUUGUGUCUCUUUGGUUUCAGUUUCAGGGGCAGCGGAGAGAGCAGAGGGAGAGUGAGGUGGAGUACGGGGGGUCAAGGUGGCUCCAGGACCCAGGCGGACGCUGGAGACCAAUGUGGAUGAGUGUGUGUACGCUCAGCCCCGGAGGACGAGGCCCUGAAUGCUGUGAACAGCCAGAAGGGUAGGGUGUAGACAGCGCUUGAGCCAGAGAGCCAGCAGCCCGUUGACCUUUGACCUGCCAGGGGCACUUCUCUCUCUGCAUCUGAAAGGCCACUUCGUUGAACUGUUUUGAAAAUGUUACUGUUUAUUCGGCCAUUAUCACGUUCAUAUGUAUGUCCAUGAAGCCAUUCACAUGUAGUUUAAUUUAUUAAUUAUUAAUAUUAUUUACUUUUACCUCUGUUGUUCUUGUCCAUAGUUGCUUCCAGCAUAAAAUGUUGCUUAAAAACUGAUACCAGCAAUCAGUUAUUAUUAAUUACGAUAGCUUGAGUCUGUUCUAUAAACGUAACGCCAAUUUAAAUGGACAUAUACAUACAUUACACCCACACAAACAGACACUCAUCUAUUACAUAGCUACAUACUUUCUCCAAUUAAUGUUCCAAAAUGUAAUAUAAAAGAGACAAUCUCAUGGAAAAUAGACCUUUUUGACCUAAAAGCGAACAGAAACAAUCAAGUUAUUUGUAACCUAAAUGGUUGACACCUCUGCAGAUAGAGUCAUGGCCAUUUCAUGGCAACCGAUGAGAUACGGCAAACACUUGGGCUAUGUUUGCUUCUCUGCCGUCUCUAACUUCCCCCUUAUGGCUCAGAUUGCCCUGAUAACACAAACCCUAACAACUAAACGUAUAGGCUAUGAUCAAUCAGCAAAGAAUCAAACAGAUACCAAGGAAAUUUUUUACAUUAGCAUACUCAUUUAGCCGAUGCUUUUAUCUAAAGUGAUGUAAAUUAUUAUGAGUAUAGAUUACAUGAGAAGGGUGGUAAGGCAUCUUGCAGUGGAAUUUGAACCCUGAACCUUUGGGCUGGGAGUCCAACACCAUGACCUCCACACUACCCAAGGAUGUGUCGAACCCUCGCCUGACCGACGGUCCUCCUGUUGCUGAACCCUCGCCUGUCAGACUGCCCGCCUGCCAUGAAUCCCCUCAUUACUUAUUUGUUGCCCUCAGUAAAUACCCUAAUCAUUUACUCUCUGUGUCAGUGUCUCUCUUUGUCAAGCAUUUGGUUCCACCCACUCUACUUCCCCAAAACAAAAUUUGACCCUUGGACUCUGCGUUGUGUUUAAUUGUUGUGAUAUAGAAGGACCACGGGACACAGAUGUUCAGGAUUGUGGAAGACGCUUGACAAUUUAUUCCCCAACAGUGGAAACUCUUCAAUAGUUGUCCCUUGCAUUAUUGGCCCUUAACACUUAUAUUCAGAAACAACACUGCCUCAAAAGGCUAUUGGCCUAAGCAACACCAGUAGAGGCAUAUACUUUUCCCUGCAAUUUUAAACGUUGCAA